rnacentral:lncRNA from 1 species
UUUACUUAAAGUUCCAUCACCAUUUCACCAUGACACUUUCUCGCAUACCAGAUAACUCAAGCAAAACGAAAAUACCCACACAAAACACAAUUUUUUUAAAAAAAAUUCAUUAAACCCAAAUCUGGUGUUGUACUCAGAGCCGCUGGUGUGAAUCAAAACCCCAAACUAUGAGGUUGUCAUCCAAAACGAAUCCGAUUUAGACCCUAAGCGGUUUGGCCUGGUCCUUCUACGGCGUUGUCGUGGCCGCUGUCACGGCCUUCAAAUGCUCCACCAUGAUCAACUGCAAGAAGUCAUCGACAUCAUCACCCAACAAAUCAAAGGGACUCAGCUUCGACGACGAGUCCCCAUCGAAAUCCCACCCCCUCCAUAACGCUCCGCCAUCGAGCGCUUCCGCCUCCGCUACAUGAACCCCAACUACCUCGCGGUGCCUCUUCCAUUGCGACAUUAUUUUGAUGAUGAAGCUCAACGACAUGAAGCGCAUGAUACAGACCUGGCAUAAAUCUUGAUUGGGAAGCACAUGGAUCCAGAUCUGGCACGAAUCUCAUUUGGAGGAGGCCGACGGCGGAGCGCCACCACUGUGUCGCCAUAAUCGUUUUCUUAAUCUUCCUAGCUUUAUGUAAGGUUGGCACCGCUCAAGGAAAGUGGAAAAGGUUUUUAGGAAUGCAUUUUUUUAGGAAGGUUAAAUUACCCAUUUGGUCUCUAUAGUUUCAUGAUUCUUACUUUUUUAGUCCUUUUAGUUUCAAAGUGGUUUUUUUAGUUCCUAUAGUUUACAUUAUAAUUCUCUUUUAG